rnacentral:lncRNA from 1 species
UGAAAUAAAAAAAAUGAAAGAAAAUGGUUUAAAAUAAGAAAAAAAGAAAAUAAAAAAAAGAAAGCAAAGGCAUAAAAUAUAAAGUGAGGGCGUUGGGGGUUGAACCCCUAACCUUGGGGUCAUGGGGUCAACCCCCAUCUACUUGGCCAAGCACCUUGUGGUAUUGAUCAGCGCGCCCAUAAAAUAAAAUAUUAAAACAUAACACUAAAAAAACACGCGUUAAUGAACCAAUCAAUAGCAG